rnacentral:rRNA from 1 species
UACGGAGGGGGCUAGCGUUGUUCGGAAUUACUGGGCGUAAAGCGCGCGUAGGCGGAUCUGCAAGUCGGGGGUGAAAUCCCGAGGCUCAACCUCGGAACUGCCUUCGAUACUGCGGGUCUCGAGUCCGGGAGAGGUGAGUGGAAUUCCGUGGUGUAGGCGGUGAAAUGCGCAGAUAUCAGGAAGAACACCCGUGGCGAAAGCGGCUCUCUGGGACGGUACUGACGCUGAGACGCGAAAGCGUGGGGAGCGAACAGGAU